rnacentral:rRNA from 1 species
AUGUGCUUUAUUCGGCUGUUGAAGAGUUUGGUGGAGAGGAGAAGAAUGGUUAAAUCAUGGCUCAAAACCGCCUCUGGUCUCAAAAGGCAGCAGUUUGAUAUUCAACAGCAAGCUUUGAAGCUUACCGCAAACAGUAUGUACGGUUGCUUGGGCUUUUCUAGUUCUAGGUUUUUUGCAAAGCCACUUGCCGAGCUUAUUACCCUGCAAGGUAGAGAGAUCUUACAAAACACUGUUGAUCUGGUUCAAAAUAAUUUAAACUUGGAGGUUAUUUAUGGUGACACGGACUCCAUAAUGAUAUAUACUGGACUGGAUGACAUCUCCAAGGCAAAGGCAAUUGCUGGAAAGGUCACUCAGGAGGUGAACAAGAAGUACCGUUGUCUGGAGAUUGAUCUUGAUGGUGUAUACAAAAGAAUGUUGCUUCUCAAAAAGAAGAAAUAUGCUGCUAUUAAAGUGGCACUAGAUGGCAGUUUAUUAGAGAACACUGAGCGCAAGGGACUUGAUAUGGUCAGGCGUGAUUGGAGUUUGCUGUCAAAAGAAAUUGCUGAUUUUUGCCUGAAUCAAAUUUUGUCUGGAGGGACAUGUGAUGAUGUUGUUGAGUCAAUACAUAAUUCUCUCGUCCAGGUCAAAGCACAGAUGAAAAGUGGUGAAAUAGAGCUUGAAAAAUAUAUCAUCACAAAGAGUCUAACGAAAGCGCCAGAAGAUUAUCCAGAUGCUAAAAACCAGCCUCAUGUCCAGAUUGCUUUAAGACUGAAGCAAAAUGGUUUAUCUGGAUGCUCUGCAGGUGAUACAGUUCCUUAUAUUAUUUGCUCACAACAGGCAAUUCUAACUUUCUUUGACUAUUCCAAACAGGAUUCAGAUAAUACACAUUCUGGGGGAGUUGCUCAAAGAGCUAGGCAUCCGGAUGAGUUAACACGAGACCCCAACAAGUGGAUGAUUGACAUCGAGUAUUAUUUGUCACAGCAGAUUCAUCCUGUGGUUUCUCGCCUGUGUGCUUCAAUUGAGGGUACUAGCCCAGCCCGACUGGCUGAAUGUCUUGGACUUGAUUCCUCCAAGUUCCAAUCAAGAUCGACCGGGUCUAGCAACAAAGAUAUGUCUAGCAUGCUCUUAUCUGUAACUGAUGAUGAAGAAGAGAGAUAUUGUGGCUGUGAGCCGAUACGCCUAUCAUGCCCAAGCUGUACCAGUACCUUCGAGUGUCCCCCUGUAUCCAGUCUGAUUUCUAGUUUAUCAGAUACAAAUGAAGGAAAAGAUGCUACUGUGAAUUUCUGGCGUCGGAUUCGAUGCCCAAGAUGUCCAGAUGAUACUGAUGAGUGCAGAGUUUCUCCUGCUGUGCUUGCCAACCAGAUAAAAAGACAGGCUGAUAAUUUCAUCAAUCAGUAUUAUAAAGGUUUACUGAUGUGUGAUGACGAGGGUUGCAAAUAUUCGACUCACAUUGUGAACCUUAGAGUGAUGGGGGAUUCUGAGAGAGGAACCAUCUGCCCGAACUAUCCACAAUGCAACGGCCGUUUAGUAAGACAGUACACAGAAGCAGAUCUAUACAGGCAAUUGUCCUACUUUUGCUAUGUACUUGAUGCAACCCAGUGUCUUGAUAAGUUGGACCAUAAGAUGCGGCUUCCUUUCGAGAAAGAGUUUGCAGUAUUAAACCAAACCAUAAGCUCGGCAUUUCUGGAGAUUCAGAAAAUCCGCAGAUGUGCUUUUGGAUGGGUUCAGUUGACAGAUCUAGCAGUGUCAAUCUGA